UCCCCGGUAGCUCACAUGGUAAAGCAUCUGCCUUCAAUGCAGGAGACUCAGGUUCGAUCCCUGGGUCAGGAA
rnacentral:tRNA from 1 species